rnacentral:rRNA from 1 species
UCUUGGCUCAGAUUGAACGCUGGCGGCAGGCCUAACACAUGCAAGUCGAACGGUAACAGGAAGAAGCUUGCUUCUUUGCUGACGAGUGGCGGACGGGUGAGUAAUGUCUGGGAAACUGCCUGAUGGAGGGGGAUAACUACUGGAAACGGUAGCUAAUACCGCAUAACGUCGCAAGACCAAAGAGGGGGACCUUCGGGCCUCUUGCCAUCGGAUGUGCCCAGAUGGGAUUAGCUAGUAGGCGGGGUAACGGCUCACCUAGGCGACGAUCCCUAGCUGGUCUGAGAGGAUGACCAGCCACACUGGAACUGAGACACGGUCCAGACUCCUACGGGAGGCAGCAGUGGGGAAUAUUGCACAAUGGGCGCAAGCCUGAUGCAGCCAUGCCGCGUGUAUGAAGAAGGCCUUCGGGUUGUAAAGUACUUUCAGCGGGGAGGAAGGGAGUAAAGUUAAUACCUUUGCUCAUUGACGUUACCCGCAGAAGAAGCACCGGCUAACUCCGUGCCAGCAGCCGCGGUAAUACGGAGGGUGCAAGCGUUAAUCGGAAUUACUGGGCGUAAAGCGCAAGCAGGCGGUUUGUUAAGUCAGAUGUGAAAUCCCCGGGCUCAACCUGGGAACUGCAUCUGAUACUGGCAAGCUUGAGUCUCGUAGAGGGGGGUAGAAUUCCAGGUGUAGCGGUGAAAUGCGUAGAGAUCAGAAGGAAUACCGGUGGCGAAGGCGGCCCCCUGGACGAAGACUGACGCUCAGGUGCGAAAGCGUGGGGAACAAACAGGAUUAGAUACCCUGGUAGUCCACGCCGUAAACGAUGUCGACUUGGAGGUUGUGCCCUUGAGGCGUGGCUUCCGGAGCUAACGCGUUAAGUCGACCGCCUGGGGAGUACGGCCGCAAGGUUAAAACUCAAAUGAAUUGACGGGGGCCCGCACAAGCGGUGGAGCAUGUGGUUUAAUUCGAUGCAACGCGAAGAACCUUACCUGGUCUUGACAUCCACGGAAGUUUUCAGAGAUGAGAAUGUGCCUUCGGGAACCGUGAGACAGGUGCUGCAUGGCUGUCGUCAGCUCGUGUUGUGAAAUGUUGGGUUAAGUCCCGCAACGAGCGCAACCCUUAUCCUUUGUUGCCAGCGGUCCGGCCGGGAACUCAAAGGAGACUGCCAGUGAUAAACUGGAGGAAGGUGGGGAUGACGUCAAGUCAUCAUGGCCCUUACGACCAGGGCUACACACGUGCUACAAUGGCGCAUACAAAGAGAAGCGACCUCGCGAGAGCAAGCGGACCUCAUAAAGUGCGUCGUAGUCCGGAUUGGAGUCUGCAACUCGACUCCAUGAAGUCGGAAUCGCUAGUAAUCGUGGAUCAGAAUGCCACGGUGAAUACGUUCCCGGGCCUUGUACACACCGCCCGUCACACCAUGGGAGUGGGUUGCAAAAGAAGUAGGUAGCUUAACCUUCGGGAGGGCGCUUACCACUUUGUGAUUCAUGACUGGGGUGAAGU